rnacentral:rRNA from 1 species
UGGGGAAUUUUGCACAAUGUGCGCAAGCCUGAUGCAGCGACGCCGCGUGAGGGAUGAAGGCCUUCGGGUUGUAAACCUUUUUCGCUCAUGGUCAAGCCGCAGCUUUGGGUUGUGGUGAGGGUAGUGGGUAAAGAAGCGCCGGCUAACUACGUGCCAGCAGCCGCGGUAAUACGUAGGGCGCGAGCGUUGUCCGGAAUUAUUGGGCGUAAAGGGCUUGUAGGCGGUUGGCCGCGUCUGCCGUGAAAUCCUCUGGCUUAACUGGGGGCGUGCGGUGGGUACGGGUUGACUUGAGUGCGGUAGGGGAGACUGGAAUUCCUGGUGUAGCGGUGGAAUGCGCAGAUAUCAGGAGGAACGCAGGUGGAGAAGGCGGGUCUCUGGGCCGUUACUGACGCGGAGGAGCGAAAGCGUGGGGAGCGAACAGG